AUUGAACGCUGGCGGCAUGCCUUACACAUGCAAGUCGAACGGCAGCACGGGAGCAAUCCUGGUGGCGAGUGGCGAACGGGUGAGUAAUAUAUCGGAACGUGCCCAGUGUGGGGGAUAACGUUCGGAAACGGACGCUAAUACCGCAUACGUCCUACGGGAGAAAGCGGGGGAUCUUCGGACCUCGCGCCAUUAGAUGAGCCUAGGUCGGAUUAGCUAGUUGGUGAGGUAAUGGCUCACCAAGGCGACGAUCCGUAACUGGUCUGAGAGGAUGAUCAGUCACACUGGAACUGAGACACGGUCCAGACUCCUACGGGAGGCAGCAUGGGGAAUAUUGGACAAUGGGCGAAAGCCUGAUCCAGCCAUGCCGCGUGUGUGAAGAAGGCCUUAGGGUUGUAAAGCUC
rnacentral:rRNA from 1 species